rnacentral:rRNA from 1 species
UACGAGGGGGGCAAAUGUUGUUCGGAAUUACUGGGCGUAAAGCGCACGUAGGCGGACAUUUAAGUCAGGGGUGAAAUCCCGGGGCUCAACCCCGGAACUGCCUUUGAUACUGGGUGUCUUGAGUGUGGAAGAGGUCGGUGGAAUUGCGAGUGUAGAGGUGAAAUUCGUAGAUAUUCGCAUGAACACCAGUGGCGAAGGCGGCCGACUGGUCCACAACUGACGCUGAGGUGCGAAAGCGUGGGGAGCAAACAGG